rnacentral:lncRNA from 1 species
AUUAAUUUAUAUUCUGUAACACUGCAAUGCUAAAAGUGUCAUGGGGAAAAUCUAAGUAUUUAUAUUAAUCUCAUGAUAAAAGUCUACAGGACAUAUUUUAAAAACAUCUUUUUAAAGUCAAAGUCAAAAAAAAAUUAAUAAUAAUGUCACAUCCCAGAAAAUCUGGUCUGCAUUUUUUUUUUUUUUUUUACAAUAACAAUAAGGCCCACUGCAUACUACAAGACCAUUUUUUUUAGUACAACCCACGUACCACAUGAGGGCGCUAAGCACCGCAACAGAGUUUGGAAGAGACUAGCGGAUUCAAGGCAAAGGUCUGUGGGCUGCAGGGGGCCAGCGCUGACUGACAGAGGCCCUGCUGUGAGAGGCAGAGAGGUCCUCAUGAGCCUCAGCAUGCAGCCCCUUUCCCAGGCCCGCCUUGAGGCCUCCGGCCACACUGAAGGAGGGCCCUGCUCCGCUCCCAGACCUCAUCCACAGACCUGGGGGACAGGUGAGUGAACCACACCAAGACCCAGCUCGGACAGAUAGACGGACACACACACACACACACACACACACACACACACACACACUAUAUUUCACAUCACAUAUAGAUGGUGGGGUCAUAGUUUACCAAAAGUAAAUGUUGCUUGUUCACAUGGUAGAUUGAUUGUACAAUAUGGCACGAAAAUGCGAAAUGCAUCACUAGAUACUAGCAGUUAAGCAAAUCAUCUUAAUUUGUUCAUGUGAAA